CAGUAAUGAACAAAAGAAAGCGCUCAAAUUUUAUUAAAGUUCUAUUUUUGGAUAUUUCUGUGACAGUAGUUUUACGCCGUUAUGUCGGAGGAGAAUAAAAAUAUAUUUUCAUCCUUCGAUUGUACAUCGAAGCAAUCGUCACCUGAUGGGAUAAUCAAUUAUAUUGCGCAAGUGUCUUUCAACCCUGGUGAUUCUUUAGAGGAUAUUUAUGAAGAAAUCGAUUGGGAAUCUCUUGAUAUUGUGAAAUUACUCCGUUCAUUAGGAGUAUGCAAAAAUGUCAUUAAAAAAUUCAUUGAUAUAAAUGGUGUUUUUUCAAGUGAAAUAUGUUCAUUAGAUUGUAUUUUUUUUUUCAAAUAGAUAAUGGAUACGAUAUCGAAUUACUCAAAGUUAUACAAAGAAAAGAAAUUGAAACCCUUGUUUGCGAGCCGUACCUUGCAGAUCGAACAAGAAUCAUAUCUGGUUUAAACUCCUGGAGAAUCUCACAGAACCUGCCUCCAAUAAGUUCACCUUUGAAGUCAAGUGAGAAUGUUAGUAGCACCCACCGAAGUCCAAUGAAAAGCGAGAACUGUACUGCCUCUUUCUUACUGAAUAAUUCAGCCAGAGGUCAACGGAUCCUGAAAGUGUACGAAGAGACGAAAUUAUUGAGUAAAACAGACAGGAGAAACAUUACGCAAAUAGUCAUCGACGAGUACAAAGACCGCUUUGGAAAAUUGACUCACAAGCAGCUUGAAGACCGGGCAGCGGAGCUUAGUAAACUGUUUCCAUCGGAAUCUACGGUAUUCAUCAAAGCCAAUUAAUUUGCAUACUGUACAUCAAUCCUUAUAUUUAAGACAACAGUAAUAUUGAGGGUCUACAAAUUCAUAGUAGUUCAUAGUAGUAAGAAAAUAAUUUAAGUGGUUAGUCACAUUUAGUGUGUUCGAGGUCUGCGAGAUAAUAUUGUUAUUUAGUCGUGCAUUUGUAAUCACCGUUGAAUUGAAAAAAGGUGAACCAUGAAAUCAUCAAAUUUGAAUUAUUAUUUUAAGAUCGAGGAUUUUUUGUAUUUCCAAAGGUACUAGUAUACC